UACGUACUGUGCGAACGUUAUUCGGAAUCACUGGGCUUAAAGGGUGCGUAGGCGGCCUGUUAAGUAGGGUGUGAAAUGCCAGAGCUCAACUUUGGCAUUGCGCUCUAGACUGGCAGGCUUGAGUGAGAUAGGGGUGUGCGGAACUUCCAGUGGAGCGGUGAAAUGUGUUGAUAUUGGAAGGAACGCCGGUGGCGAAAGCGGCACACUGGGUCUUAACUGACGCUGAUGCACGAAAGCCAGGGGAGCGAACGGG
rnacentral:rRNA from 1 species